UCUUCCACAAUGGACGAAAGUCUGAUGGAGCAACGCCGCGUGAGUGAAGAAGGGUUUCGGCUCGUAAAACUCUGUUGUUAAAGAAGAACAUAUCUGAGAGUAACUGUUCAGGUAUUGACGGUAUUUAACCAGAAAGCCACGGCUAACUACGUGCCAGCAGCCGCGGUAAUACGUAGGUGGCAAGCGUUGUCCGGAUUUAUUGGGCGUAAAGCGAGCGCAGGCGGUUUUUUAAGUCUGAUGUGAAAGCCUUCGGCUCAACCGAAGAAGUGCAUCGGAAACUGGGAAACUUGAGUGCAGAAGAGGACAGUGGAACUCCAUGUGUAGCGGUGAAAUGCGUAGAUAUAUGGAAGAACACCAGUGGCGAAGGCGGCUGUCUGGUCUGUAACUGACGCUGAGGCUCGAAAGUAUGGGUAGCAAACAGGAUUAGAUACCCUGGUAGUCCAUACCGUAAACGAUGAAUGCUAAGUGUUGGAGGGUUUCCGCCCUUCAGUGCUGCAGCUAACGCAUUAAGCAUUCCGCCUGGGGAGUACGGCCGCAAGGCUGAAACUCACAGGAAUUGACGGGGGCCCGCACAAGCGGUGGAGCAUGUGGUUUAAUUCGAAGCUACGCGAAGAACCUUACCAGGUCUUGACAUACUAUGCAAAUCUAAGAGAUUAGACGUUCCCUUCGGGGACAUGGAUACAGGUGGUGCAUGGUUGUCUUCAGCUCCUGUCGCGAAAUGUUGGGUUAAGUCCCGCAACGAGCGCAACCCUUAUUAUCAGUUGCCAGCAUUAAGUUGGGCACUCUGGUGAGACUGCCGGUGACAAACCGGAGGAAGGGGGGGAUGACGUCAA
rnacentral:rRNA from 1 species